CCAAGGCCUUAGCAGACUCUGGCUUUCCUUUGAAUUUCCAAGAAAACUGCUCCAUAAUUUUUAUCAAGACUUAUCAUUUGCCCAUCUCACCCUACACACUAGAAUUUUAAGCGAUGAAGUACAUGUGGAGACUUACUUUGUAGUCUUUUAAGAUAAUGACCAAAUGAACAUUUCUGGCCUCACUCAGCAUCUGCUCUGACACGGGUUUAAGGGGCUGCCGCGGCCAGGAAGAGGGUCAAAUAUGCUGGGCCACCCCCUCUGAGGCCGCAGCUGCAUCUCAGGUUUGCAUUCUCACCACGGCCGUUCUACUGAUGGGAGCUUCAUUUCUAUUUGCUCGAGGUCCGCCCAACACAUUUCGCCCUGGAUCUCACUGGGUGGACGUGAACAUCCACCUGCACGACAGUAAAGGAAAAAGGACAAGAUGGAGUUGUGGGGGCAGGGGGUGGUUCUUCCCAUAAAAACACAGAAGCAUCACAAGAAUAAUAUUUGUUAAAAGCCUCCAGGAUUUGGUGCCGAACAUCUCUCAAGGCAUCUCCUGAUUUCCCAGAGCUGAUGGAAAUAUUCUGAAGGUAUUAAUAGAAUGCAGAUGUUGGAGAAUGCGACUUAGAAUCCUACUGAACAAAUGACCCUGUUGGGAGGCAGUUUGCAGUCUCCAGGGACAUUCCACAGAGGGCCCAGCUGAUUGUCUCAUAUUGAAACAGCAUGUCCCAGCAUUCCAGCUAGAAGAAGCGGAACAGGGCUCCUCCACCAGAUAUAAAUCACAAGGCAAAGGGCAACUGAACUCCUUCAGUCCUGCCCUCCCUCCUUCCUUGGUUCACCCUCCACCCCCUCCCCCGCUCCCGCCCCCCAAGGAAAACAAAGCUUGAGUAAGAGGCUGCCAAGCCAAGCCACGCAGGCGCCAGACGGCCGAGCGCGGCACACACGACGGCCGUUUGGGAGGCUCACAGCUUUCGGCACUGUGGCCCUGAUGUUUUUGCUUCACUGCAAUUUGUUUCUGAUCUCCAGUCAAGUCCUUACAACGCUGGGAUCCUCUAGAGAGUUUAUACUUUGACCUCGUGACAAUUAACACCAGAGGCCAAGAAAAAAAAAAAAAACUCGAUAAGAGAGAAACUCAAUUGGUGGGAGGUGGAGGG
rnacentral:lncRNA from 10 species